rnacentral:rRNA from 1 species
AUGUUGAGUGCAUCUUGGCCUUGGAGCAGACUGUCGGCAGAAGGUAUUCUCGGUGAGGAAGGUGAGGAUGUUAAAGAUCGAGUGCCGUCUCAAUUCCUGAGCAAGACCACAUGUAAUAUAGUCAUCGAUGAUCUGAUUGUGGACAUCACAAAAAAUAAAUCUGCCGACGACGAUUUCCUUCGAAGAGUUGUCCUCGUGUUGCUUGGAACAGUUCUUGCUCCCAUGUCGAGCAAGACUGUACCAAAGCAAUAUUACGCAUUGGUGGACGAUGUGAAGCGUAUAUCCAAGAUUAAUUGGAAUGCAUUCACCCUCCGUGUUCUGCUGGACUGCCUUCGCAACGUGAGGAAAGGCAAACACCUCCGCCAAUGA